UACGUAGGGUGCAAGCGUUGUUCGGAAUCAUUGGGCGUAAAGCGCGUGUAGGCUGUUAGUUAAGUCAGAUGUGAAAGCCCUCGGACUCAACCGGGGGAAGUGCAUUUACGAAACUAGCUGGCUAAGAAGACGGUAGAGGAAGGUGGAAUUCCAAGUGGUAGAGGUGAAAUUCGUAGAUAUUUAGGAGGAAUACCUGUGGCGAAGGGCGGCCUUCUGGACCGAUCUUGACGCUGGAGACGCGAAAGCGUGGGUAGCAAACAGG
rnacentral:rRNA from 1 species